AAUCAACGCUGGCGGCGUGCCUCAGACAUGCAAGUCGAACGCGAAAGUUUCCUUCGGGAGAUGAGUAGAGUGGCGCACGGGUGAGUAACACGUGAGUAAUUUACCUUCGGGUGGGGAAUACUAACCGGAAACGGUUGUUAAUACCGCAUAAUGCAGCGGCAUCAAUGAUGACAGUUGUUAAAGCGGGGGAUUGGAGCAAUCCGACCUCGCGCCUGAAGAGAAGCUCGCGGCAGAUUAGCUAGUUGGUAAGGUAAUGGCUUACCAAGGCGACGAUCUGUAACCGGCCUGAGAGGGCGGUCGGUCACACUGACACUGAAUAACGGGUCAGACUCCUACGGG
rnacentral:rRNA from 1 species